rnacentral:rRNA from 1 species
UACGAAGGAUGCAAGCGUUAUCCGGAUUCAUUGGGUUUAAAGGGAGCGUAGGUGGCCUUAUAAGUCAGUGGUGAAAUCCCUGGGCUUAACUCAGAAAUUGCCAUUGAUACUGUAGGGCUUGAGUAUAGUUGCCGUUGGCGGAAUAUGACAUGUAGUGGUGAAAUACAUAGAGAUGUCAUAGAACACCGAUUGCGAAGGCAGCUGACGAAACUAUAACUGACACUGAGGCUCGAAAGUGCGGGGAUCAAACAGG